CCUACGGGAGGCAGCAGUGGGGAAUAUUGCGCAAUGGGCGAAAGCCUGACGCAGCGACGCCGCGUGAAGGAUGAAGGUCUUCGGAUCGUAAACCUCUGUCAGCAGGGAAGAACGGUCACUGUGCUAAUCAGCAGUGAAUUGACGGUACCUGCAAAGGAAGCACCGGCUAACUCCGUGCCAGCAGCCGCGGUAAUACGGAGGUUGCGAGCGUUAAUCGUAAUUAAUGGGCGUAAAGCGCUCGUAGGCGGUAUGUCAAGUCAAGGGUGAAAUCCCCGCGCUCAACGUGGGAACUGCCUUUGAAACUGGCAAACUGGAGUGUGUUAGAGGAUAGUGGAAUUCCAGGUGUAGGAGUGAAAUCCGUAGAUAUCUGGAAGAACAUCAGUGGCGAAGGCGACUAUCUGGCACAUAACUGACGCUGAGGAGCGAAAGCGUGGGUAGCAAACAGGAUUAGAUACCCUUGUAGUC
rnacentral:rRNA from 1 species